UACAGAGGGGGCAAGCGUUAUUCGGAAUUAUUGGGCGUAAAGGGCGCGUAGGCGGCCAGGCAAGUGGAAGGUGAAAUCCCUCGGCUUAACCGAGGAACUGCCCUCCAAACUGCUUGGCUUGAGACCGGGAGAGGUGAGUGGAAUUCCCAGUGUAGCGGUGAAAUGCGUAGAUAUUGGGAGGAACACCAGUGGCGAAGGCGGCUCACUGGACCGGAACUGACGCUGAGGCGCGAAAGCGUGGGGAGCAAACGGG
rnacentral:rRNA from 1 species